rnacentral:rRNA from 1 species
AGUGAACGCUGGCGGUAGGCCUAACACAUGCAAGUCGAACGGCAGCACAGUAAGAGCUUGCUCUUACGGGUGGCGAGUGGCGGACGGGUGAGGAAUACAUCGGAAUCUACUUUUUCGUGGGGGAUAACGUAGGGAAACUUACGCUAAUACCGCAUACGACCUACGGGUUAAAGCAGGGGAUCUUCGGACCUUGCGCGAUUGAAUGAGUCGAUGUCGGAUUAGCUAGUUGGCGGGGUAAAGGCCCACCAAGGCGACGAUCCGUAGCUGGUCUGAGAGGAUGAUCAGCCACACUGGAACUGAGACACGGUCCAGACUCCUACGGGAGGCAGCAGUGGGGAAUAUUGGACAAUGGGCGCAAGCCUGAUCCAGCCAUACCGCGUGGGUGAAGAAGGCCUUCGGGUUGUAAAGCCCUUUUGUUGGGAAAGAAAAGCAGCAGGUUAAUACCCCGCUGUUCUGACGGUACCCAAAGAAUAAGCACCGGCUAACUUCGUG